rnacentral:rRNA from 1 species
UUGACCUCGGAUCAGGUAGGGAUACCCGCUGAACUUAAGCAUAUCAAUAAUCGGAGGAGA